UUGAAAAGAGUUUUAAUGAUAUUGUGAUAGAGAUCACAAUAUAUCUCACUAUCAGAUAGAAUAGAACCUAUGGGAUCACAUACAAAAGAAAUUUUUGACUGAUCAGAUGAUUAAAUUAUGAUUAUGAAUCAUAACAGGAUUUGAUUAUCAAUUUGAUUGAUAAUUGAUCCAAUGCAAAUAUUGCAUUAUGUAACUUACUAAAGAGUUAGUGAGUUGUAAGAGGAUUAAUUAGUAAUAAGAUUACCAAUUAGCUCAAUUUGAUUGAGCAAUGGGGCUUGCAUCAAGUC
rnacentral:lncRNA from 1 species